rnacentral:rRNA from 1 species
GACGAACGCUGGCGGCGUGCUUAACACAUGCAAGUCGAACGGAAAGGCCCUGCUUUUGUGGGGUGCUCGAGUGGCGAACGGGUGAGUAACACGUGAGUAACCUGCCCUUGACUUUGGGAUAACUUCAGGAAACUGGGGCUAAUGCCGGAUAGGAGCUCCUGCUGCAUGGUGGGGGUUGGAAAGUUUCGGCGGUUGGGGAUGGACUCGCGGCUUAUCAGCUUGUUGGUGGGGUAGUGGCUUACCAAGGCUUUGACGGGUAGCCGGCCCGAGAGGGUGACCGGCCACAUUGGGACUGAGAUACGGCCCAGACUCCUACGGGAGGCAGCAGUGGGGAAUAUUGCACAAUGGGCGGAAGCCUGAUGCAGCAACGCCGCGUGCGGGAUGACGGCCUUCGGGUUGUAAACCGCUUUCGCCUGUGACGAAGCGUGAGUGACGGUAAUGGGUAAAGAAGCACCGGCUAACUACGUG